rnacentral:rRNA from 1 species
GACGAACGCUGGCGGCGUGCUUAACACAUGCAAGUCGAACGGAAAGGCCCUGCUUUUGUGGGGUGCUCGAGUGGCGAACGGGUGAGUAAAACGUGAGUAACCUGCCCUUGACUUUGGGAUAACUUCAGGAAAAUGGGGCUAAUACCGGAUAGGAGCUACUGCUGCAUGGUGGGGGUUGGAAAGUUUCGGCGGUUGGGGAUGGACUCGCGGCUUAUCAGCUUGUUGGUGGGGUAGUGGCUUACCAAGGCUUUGACGGGUAGCCGGCCUGGGAGGGUGACCGGCCACAUUGGGACUGAGAGACGGCCCAGACUCCUACGGGAGGCAGCAGUGGGGAAUAUUGCACAAUGGGCGGAAGCCUGAUGCAGCAACGCCGCGUGCGGGAUGACGGCCUUCGGGUUGUAAACCGCUUUCGCCUGUGACGAAGCGUGAGUGACGGUAAUGGGUAAAGAAGCACCGGCUAACUACGUG